rnacentral:rRNA from 1 species
CAGUCGUGCUGGCGCGAAAUCAACCCCCUCGUCGGGAGAUCACUGUUGUGGCGAGCCUCAAAACCCGUCACAGCGUGUUAUCUCACGAUGAGUGGGAGCACUUUCGUGUCCGCUGGUUAACAUCAAUUUCGAACGUCAU